rnacentral:miRNA from 1 species
UUUUCAAUUUUUAGCUUUAUCAUAAUGACCUGGGGAACUGGUUAAAAUGCAGAUUCCUAGAUUCCAGACCCACUGAAACAUAAUCCCUAAGAGUAGAGCCCAGGAAUCUGCAUUUUAAGUAAUCACCCUAAGUGAUUCUAAUA